GUAGAUAUAGUUUAACUAAAACAUUAGAUUGUGAAUCUAACUACAGAGGCUCACCACCUCUUAUUUACC
rnacentral:tRNA from 1 species